rnacentral:rRNA from 1 species
UACGAAGGGGGCUAGCGUUGCUCGGAAUCACUGGGCGUAAAGCGCACGUAGGCGGACUCUUAAGUCGGUGGUGAAAUCCUGGAGCUCAACUCCAGAACUGCCUUCGAUACUGAGAGUCUCGAGUCCGAGAGAGGUGAGUGGAACUGCGAGUGUAGAGGUGAAAUUCGUAGAUAUUCGCAAGAACACCAGUGGCGAAGGCGGCUCACUGGCUCGGUACUGACGCUGAGGUGCGAAAGCGUGGGGAGCAGACAGG